rnacentral:rRNA from 1 species
UUAAGUAGACCGCCUGGGGAGUACGGCCGCAAGGUUAAAACUCAAAUGAAUUGACGGGGGCCCGCACAAGCGGUGGAGCAUGUGGUUUAAUUCGAUGCAACGCGAAGAACCUUACCUGGUCUUGACAUCCACAGAAGAAUCCAGAGAUGGAUUUGUGCCUUCGGGAACUGUGAGACAGGUGCUGCAUGGCUGUCGUCAGCUCGUGUUGUGAAAUGUUGGGUUAAGUCCCGCAACGAGCGCAAC